GGGGGCGAUCGGUUUCGACGGUGAACGUCGAACCAGGUGAAGCGGGUCGAGGACGCGAGGCCAUCUCGUUAACGCUCGUCGCAAACCACUAGGUGCCAAAUCCAACCGCACCGACUUCGCUCUAGCCGCCUAGGGGGCUAGGAGCGAGUCCGUCAGCC
rnacentral:tmRNA from 1 species